rnacentral:rRNA from 1 species
CCUACGGGGGGCACCAGUGUGGAAUAUUGCACAAAGGCGCAAGCCUGAUGCAGCCAUGCCGCGUGUGUGAAGAAGGCCUUCGGGUUGUAAAGCACUUUCAGCGGGGAGGAAGGCGGUGAGGUUAAUAACCUCAUCGAUUGACGUUACCCGCAGAAGAAGCACCGGCUAACUCCGUGCCAGCAGCCGCGGUAAUACGGAGGGUGCAAGCGUUAAUCGGAAUUACUGGGCGUAAAGCGCACGCAGGCGGUCUGUCAAGUCGGAUGUGAAAUCCCCGGGCUCAACCUGGGAACUGCAUUCGAAACUGGCAGGCUAGAGUCUUGUAGAGGGGGGUAGAAUUCCAGGUGUAGCGGUGGAAUGCGUAGAGAUCUGGAGGAAUACCGGUGGCGAAGGCGGCCCCCUGGACAAAGACUGACGCUCAGGUGCGAAAGCGUGGGGAACAAACAGGAUUAGAUACCCUCGUAGUC